GUUUUAUAUUCGUACAACUUUCCUUGACAACUGUACAAUACAAAGCCCAGUGGCAGAGUAGGAAGUAACAGGUGGGGUCAGCAUGUUAAUAAAGAAGUAAACCCAGAGUCUGGCAGACUCUCACAUCUCAAACCCAGAUAACACCAAGGGAGGAGGCGGCGGGUGUCGUCCUGUAUUAUAGCAGGAGGUGUGAUAGAGAUGCAGACGAGGGAAGGCUGCGCUCGCUGACAUGGAAGAAUCCCUCUCUGUUCCCCUGUCGAUCACAGGCUCCUUUUAAAAAUCACUCCAUUUUAAGUCCACCGUGAGGAUGUACACAGGUGGAGAGGAGGGCAGCUGCUCCAUCACUGGGUGACGCUCCACAUCCUGUGACUGGCUGGAUUCUGUCUGCGAUGCGGCUGCUGCUCCUGGAACAUUGAGCCGGGAGAUUUAUCUUGUGAGCACAUGUAGGCUCACAUGCUCCAGGGUGAGAACCAGGCUGGGGACUACUCGUGGGUUGUCUUUAAGGACACUUGAGGUGUUGCACAGACAUGACGAGCCCUCUGGCUUUCCCUCUGGCGCCACCAUGAGGUCAUUGUUUGGGGCUUCGAGCGAGACGGCUCAACAACUGUUGAUCGACUGCUGUGAAAUGUGGCUCAGAUGUUCAUUUUUGCCUCAGGAUGAAUUGUAAUCACUUCACAGAGGAAGGAGACCUGAUCACAUCUUUUAUUUCAAGAGGUAAAAGCGGGAAUACCACAGAGCAGAAAUACUGUUACAAAUAAAAGCUAAGCAUUCAAAAAUGUUUACUUACUGUUUAUAUUUGUACAUAGUAUGUAUGUACAAGUCUGUUCUUCUAUUUCUUACAUUCUAAUUAUUUUCGUUCAUUUGUUACUAACAUUAUUGCUUGUUGUGAAACUGAAC